rnacentral:rRNA from 1 species
UUUUCCUACGGGGGGCAGCAGUGAGGAAUAUUGGUCAAUGGGAGAGAUCCUGAACCAGCCAAGCCGCGUGAGGGAAGACGGCCCUAUGGGUUGUAAACCUCUUUUGUCGGGGAACAAAGGCGCCCACGGGUGGGCGGAUGAGUGUACCCGAAGAAAAAGCAUCGGCUAACUCCGUGCCAGCAGCCGCGGUAAUACGGAGGAUGCGAGCGUUAUCCGGAUUUAUUGGGUUUAAAGGGUGCGUAGGCGGACAGUCAAGUCAGCGGUAAAAAUGCGGUGCUCAACGCCGUACAGCCGUUGAAACUGGC